rnacentral:rRNA from 1 species
CCUACGGGAGGCUGCAGUGGGGAAUAUUGGACAAUGGGCGAAAGCCUGAUCCAGCCAUGCCGCGUGUGUGAAGAAGGCCUUCGGGUUGUAAAGCACUUUCAUUGGGGAAGAAAGCCUUGGGGCUAAUACCCUCGAGGAAGGACAUCACCCACAGAAGAAGCACCGGCUAACUCCGUGCCAGCAGCCGCGGUAAUACGGAGGGUGCGAGCGUUAAUCGGAAUUACUGGGCGUAAAGCGCGCGUAGGCGGUCUGAUAAGCCGGUUGUGAAAGCCCCGGGCUCAACCUGGGAACGGCAUCCGGAACUGUCAGGCUAGAGUGCAGGAGAGGAAGGUAGAAUUCCCGGUGUAGCGGUGAAAUGCGUAGAGAUCGGGAGGAAUACCAGUGGCGAAGGCGGCCUUCUGGACUGACACUGACGCUGAGGUGCGAAAGCGUGGGUAGCAAACAGGAUUAGAUACCCUAGUAGUC